rfam:Oryza glaberrima chromosome 2 Oglab02_0251_13, whole genome shotgun sequence.
AAUAAAUGUGGUUUUACACUAUUUAUGUCUAACGUUUGACCGUUCGUCUUAUUUAAAAUUUUUUUUAUGAUUAAUAUUUUUGUUGUUAUUAGAUGAUAAAACAUGAAUAGUACUUUAUGUGCGACUAACUUUUUCAAAAUUUUUCAAAUAAGACAUGCGGUUAAACAUUAGACAUAGAUUUCCACGACUGCACUUAUU